rnacentral:rRNA from 1 species
AGUGAACGCUGGCGGUAGGCCUAACACAUGCAAGUCGAACGGCAGCACAGUAAGAGCUUGCUCUUACGGGUGGCGAGUGGCGGACGGGUGAGGAAUACAUCGGAAUCUACUUUUUCGUGGGGGAUAACGUAGGGAAACUUACGCUAAUACCGCAUACGACCUACGGGUGAAAGCAGGGGAUCUUCGGACCUUGCGCGAUUGAAUGAGCCGAUGUCGGGUUAGCUAGUUGGCGGGGUAAAGGCCCACCAAGGCGACGAUCCGUAGCUGGUCUGAGAGGAUGAUCAGCCACACUGGGACGGAGACACGGUCCAGACUCCUACGGGAGGCAGCAGUGGGGAAUAUUGGACAAUGGGCGCAAGCCUGAUCCAGCCAUACCGCGUGGGUGAAGAAGGCCUUCGGGUUGUAAAGCCCUUUUGUUGGGAAAGAAAAGCAGCAGGUUAAUACCCCGCUGUUCUGACGGUACCCAAAGAAUAAGCACCGGCUAACUUCG